rnacentral:tRNA from 3 species
CUGACUUUAGUUUAAUUAGAAUGAAGGUUUUGGGGAUCUUUGGUCUCCUUUGUGGGA